AGAGUUUGAUCCUGGCUCAGAGUGAACGCUGGCGGCAUGCCUAACACAUGCAAGUCGAACGGUAACAGGCCCGCAAGGGUGCUGACGAGUGGCGGACGGGUGAGGAAUACAUCGGAAUUUGCCCAGUCGUGGGGGAUAACGUAGGGAAACUUACGCUAAUACCGCAUACGACCUUUUGGUGAAAGCGGGGGAUCAGCAAUGACCUCGCGCGGAUGGAUAAGCCGAUGUCGGAUUAGCUAGUUGGCGGGGUAAGAGCCCACCAAGGCGACGAUCCGUAGCUGGUCUGAGAGGAUGAUCAGCCACACUGGGACUGAGACACGGCCCAGACUCCUACGGGAGGCAGCAGUGGGGAAUAUUGGACAAUGGGCGCAAGCCUGAUCCAGCCAUGCCGCGUGAGUGAUGACGGCCUUAGGGUUG
rnacentral:rRNA from 1 species